GCAGAGGAAGACGGUCAGGGCGUGCCAGUGGAGGCUGAUGUCCUUCUUCAGAGAGGAGCAGCUGAGUCAGUGGCACCACAGUACCUGGACUUGCUGUAUGGGCAGAGCCAUGUUGGGCACCAUGAUGAGCAGCAGCAGCAGCCAUACGACCACAGACAGCAGCCGAGCGAAGCCGACCUCCUGCAGCCGCAGCGAGCGCAGCGUGUGACAGUCCUGCGGGAGAACAGAGCCAUCAGCAACCAACAACCAUCAACAGCAAUAUCAUAAACACAGUAGCAGUCGGUGAUGAUGAAGGCAAGGAAGGCGAUGGAGGCGUAGAGGCUGAUGUAGAUGGUGACGGCGCUGGCCUGGCAGUGGAAGACC